GACGUAGGGCGCGAGCGUUGUCCGGAUUUAUUGGGCGUAAAGAGCUCGUAGGCGGCUUGUCGCGUCGACUGUGGAAAUCCCGCGGCUCAACCGCGGGUCUGCAGUCGAUACGGGCAGGCUAGAGUUCGGUAGGGGAGACUGGAAUUCCUGGUGUAGCGGUGAAAUGCGCAGAUAUCAGGAGGAACACCGAUGGCGAAGGCAGGUCUCUGGGCCUUACCUGACACUGAGGAGCGAAAGCGUGGGGAGCGAACAGG
rnacentral:rRNA from 1 species